AGGAUUCGAUUCUGGCUCAGGAUGAACGCUGGCGGCGUGCCUAAUACAUGCAAGUCGAACGCAUUACUUCGGUAGUGAGUGGCGAACGGGUGAGUAACACGUAGGUAACUUACCUCUAAGACGAGGAUAACGACUGGAAACGGUCGCUAAAACUGGAUAGGAUCAUUUGAGGCAUCUCGAAUGAUUUAAAGGGGCUUUCAAGCCACACUUAGAGAAAGGCCUGCGGCGCAUUAGCUAGUUGGUGGGGUAGAGGCCUACCAAGGCGAUGAUGCGUAGCCGGACUGAGAGGUCGAACGGCCACAUUGGGACUGAGACACGGCCCAAACUCCUACGGGGGGCAGCAGUGAGGAAUAUUGGUCAAUGGACGAGAGUCUGAACCAGCCAAGUAGCCGUGAAGGAUGACUGCCCUAUGGGUUGUAAACUUCUUUUAUAAGGGAAUAAAGUGAGGGACGUGUCCCUUUUUGUAUGUACCUUAUGAAUAAGGAUCGGCUAACUCCGUGCCAGCAGCAGC
rnacentral:rRNA from 1 species